rnacentral:rRNA from 1 species
AGUGGCGGACGGGUGAGUAACACGUAAGAAUUUGCCUUUAGGAGGGGGACAACAACUGGAAACGGUUGCUAAUACCCCAUAUGCUUUCGAGUGAAAUGGAUUUUUCCGCCUAAAGAGAAGCUUGCGGCUGAUUAGCUUGUUGGUGAGGUAAUGGCUCACCAAGACGACGAUCAGUAUCUGGUUUGAGAGGAUGAUCAGACACACUGGAACUGAGACACGGUCCAGACUCCUACGGGAGGCAGCAGUGGGGAAUUUUCCGCAAUGGGCGAAAGCCUGACGGAGCAAUCUCGCGUGAGGGAUGACGGCCUAUGGGUUGUAAACCUCUUUUUUCAGGGAGGAACAAAAUGACGUGUACCUGAAGAAUAAGCAUCGGCUAACUCCGUGCCAGCAGCCGCGGUAAGACGGAGGAUGCAAGUGUUAUCCGGAAUCACUGGGCGUAAAGCGUCUGUAGGUGGUUUAAUAAGUCAACUGUUAAAUCUUGAAGCUCAACUUCAAAAUCGCAGUCGAAACUAUUAGACUAGAGUAUAGUAGGGGUAAAGGGAAUUUCCAGUGGAGCGGUGAAAUGCGUAGAUAUUGGAAAGAACACCGAUGGCGAAGGCACUUUACUGGGCUAUUACUGACACUCAGAGACGAAAGCUAGGGUAGCAAAUGGGAUUAGAUACCCCAGUAGUCCUAGCCGUAAACAAUGGAUACUAGAUGU